rnacentral:rRNA from 1 species
UUCCGGUUGAUCCUGCCGGACCUUACUGCUAUCGGGGUGGGACUAAGACAUGCGAGUCGAGCGUCUCUAGCUAUGUUGAGACGCGGCAGACGGCUCAGUAACACGUGGCUAACCUACCCUCAGGACGAGGACAAACCCGGGAAACUGGGGCUAAUACUCGAUAGGUGAGUAUGUCUGGAAUGAUUUCUCACUCAAAGGGCUUUAGAAACAUGCUUCUAAAGUCGCCUGGGGAUGGGGCCGCGUCCGAUCAGGUUGUUGGUGAGGUAAUGGCUCACCAAGCCUAUAACCGGUACGGGCCGUGAGAGCGGUAGCCUGGAGAUGGGUACUGAGACAAGGACCCAGGCCCUACGGGGCGCAGCAGUCGCGAAAACUCCGCAAUGCACGAAAGUGUGACGGGGCUACCCCGAGUGCCAUCCGCUGAGGAUGGCUUUUCUUUGGUGUAACUAGCCGGGGGAAUAAGGAGAGGGCAAGACUGGUGUCAGCCGCCGCGGUAAUACCAGCUCUCCGAGUGGUAGGGAUGAUUAUUGGGCUUAAAGCGUCCGUAGCCGGCUUAGCAAGUCUCCUGUUAAAUUCAGCGACCUAAUCGUUGAGCCGCGGGAGAUACUACUAGGCUAGGAGGCGGGAGAGGUCGACGGUACUUCUGGGGUAGGGGUGAAAUCCUAUAAUCCCGGGAGGACCACCAGUGGCGAAGGCUGUUGACUAGAACGCGCUCGACGGUGAGGGACGAAAGCUGGGGGAGCGAACCGGAUUAGAUACCCGGGUAGUCCCAGCCGUAAACGAUGCGGGCUAGGUGUUGGGGUGGCUACGUGCCACUUCAGUGCCGCAGGAAGCCAUUAAGCCCGCCGCCUGGGGAGUACGGCCGCAAGGCUGAAACUUAAAGGGAUUGGCGGGGGAGCACCCACAGGCGGUGAAGCUUGCGGUUCAUGGACUCAACGCGGU